GGUGAAAACCCAAUUAAAAUUUGGUUUGAUUUUUUUUUUCAAAACAACAUUAUUUUAACAUUUGAAGAAAAACAAAUUAAGAUACGUUUAUUUGGAUUCACCUACCCAAUUUGUGACUCAGGCUUUAGGCUGGGUCAGGCUUGGUAUUAUAACUCUUAACGAAAGUGGGAGUGUUUAAAGUGGAAAAAAUGGGAUUUAGGGGGUGUUUCAUUUUUCGCUGAAGUUCAGGGUUUUUUCGGGGUACAAUUUGGCCUCCUAUUUAACAAGCUCUGUGGAGUUCAUAGCACAACCUGGGACUGACUUCAACCCUGUAAAAUUUGAAAAGCCAUGCAUCCGGUUCCUUUUCAUGCGACUCCUGCUGCACCUCCUCCUCCCUGGUUCCCGAUGUUACCCCCUAAUCCACCACAGUCGACUCCUUUUUGGGACACCAAAAAUGUGCAUGAUCGGCUGAAAGAGUUACAGGACACGUUAACUCUUGCUACAUCAAUGCAGAAAGAGCUUGAGAUGUUGAUGACAAUCAAAAGCACUGAAGGGUCUGUGGAAGAGGGGGAAGGGGAAUCUACCGACCCUUAUGCUUGUGGGUUGUACGAGUAUUUGAAAGAUAGGAAAAUUGAUUUGGAAGCACAGGAAUCACUUUCGGUGAAUGCUGCAAAUGCUUUGAUGUCAAGAUUAAAAGCUCAAUUAGAGCCAUUUAGAGUAAUCAUAGAUGAUGUCACUCCAUGGGAAGAGAAAUCAAUGGCAGCUAGAUUGUCUAAUAAAAUAUUGAAGUCCAAGCGUAAUAAACUUUGGAGGAAGAGGAAGAGACAACGUGCUGCAGAAAUCCACACAAAGGUACAUGAACAAUUUGACCAAGCUGAUCGUGUAGCUGAUGAGUGGAGGGCUAGGGAGAUAGCAAAGGAUGCUGCACAACUCAAGGUGGAAAAGAUGAAAGAAAUUGCAAAGCUUAAAGCAAAAGAAGAGAGGAAGAGGCUAGAAUCUGAGCUUGAGCUGGUAUUAGUUGUGGAGAAGUUGCAAGAAUUGCGCUCCAUCAGGAUUCAAAAAUUGAAGAAACAAGGACAUUUUCUCCCCGAGGAGGAUGACAAGUUUCUUGAGAGAGUUCGAGCUGCAGUUGAGGAAGAAGAGCGCCAAGCAAUGGCUGCAGCUGAAACAGAUGCUGCCAAGGGUGCCAUUGCAACAGCUGAGGAAUCUAGGAAAACAAUCCAGAGUGGUGGGCUGCACACUAAAGAUGCAAGUGAUGCCAAAGAUGGAAUGAAGGAAAGUAAUGAUGAAAUAAAUGAGAGCACGGACAAUUUAGGCUCUGGUGCAGUUCCUGGUCCAUCUGGAGAAAAAGGAUCUAAAGGUCAAGUUUAUGGUGGAGCUUAUGAUUCUGUAGCAAAUUUGCCAAUUGAAUUCUACCACUAUUAUCAUGGCAGCAAUAAUGAUAUGGGCACACUUAUCGAGGUUAGAAGAACAUGGGAUGCGUAUAUAAGACCAGGAGGAAGCCGCAUACCAGGCCACUGGGUUCAGCCACCACCGCCGGCAGAUGAUAUAUGGGCAUCCUACCUCGUUAGGCCUAAAUGAAUGGGCUGCAACCAAAUAUCAGUUCGGCUUCUGCACCGACUAAUCCUUCCUGUGUCGGUGUAUUGUGAAGAAACUGGGGACUUUUAUGCAGCUACAUAAGUCUGCAAACUUUCAUUGUUUCCAAGAAAAUUCCGGUGCAUAUAAUGGAGCGUAAAGCCCGGAAAAAAAGAAACAGAAGAUGCUACUUGCAUAACCUAUAGUUUCCCAGGUUACAAAAACCUCUGCAAUUUAUCCUCGUCACACAAUCUGGAGGCUCUGUGCAAUAAGUCACCCUGUGACUUUCAUCAACACCCACCCCACGGCCAAUCCAUCAGCACAGAUAUUGGCUUUUCUGUAAACACGGGUAACUGUCACAUCCCAAUCCUUGUGGAGAAGCCCUGAAAUAAGUUUAAUCCAGUUGCUAGCACAAGGCACAUAUAUUGGUCCCUGUAUGUUACCUCUGAUGAAAUGAUACACUGAUUCACAACCUGCCUCCAACUGCACAGCCUUUAGUCAGAAAUCCUUUCCGAAUCUAAACCAAAUUUCACCGCCCAAAGUUUCUUGCCCCAUUCUCCCUCAUUUAUAUUAACUGAACUGGACAAUUUGUUUGAGCAGCCAACAGCACCGCUCAGCUGUUCUUUAUUCAUUUCAGUAUAUUUCUCGAAACAAAGAAAAUCUAUUAACAUUUAA